UGGAUAGUUGUGCUCUGCUCCCAUUUUGUC
rnacentral:piRNA from 1 species